ACUCCUACGGGAGGCAGCAGUGGGGAAUAUUGCACAAUGGGCGCAAGCCUGAUGCAGCGACGCCGCGUGGGGGAUGACGGCCUUCGGGUUGUAAACCUCUUUCACCAUCGGCGAAGUCGGGGUGACGGUAGGUGGAGAAGAAGCACCGGCCAACUACGUGCCAGCAGCCGCGGUAAUACGUAGGGUGCGAGCGUUGUCCGGAAUUACUGGGCGUAAAGAGCUCGUAGGUGGUUUGUCGCGUUGUCCGUGAAAUUCCCUGGCUUAACUGGGGGCGUGCGGGCGAUACGGGCAGACUAGAGUACUGCAGGGGAGACUGGAAUUCCUGGUGUAGCGGUGGAAUGCGCAGAUAUCAGGAGGAACACCGGUGGCGAAGGCGGGUCUCUGGGCAGUAACUGACGCUGAGGAGCGAAAGCGUGGGGAGCGAACAGGAUUAGAUACCCUGGUAGUCCACGCCGUAAACGGUGGGUACUAGGUGUGGGUUUCCUUCCUUGGGAUCCGUGCCGUAGCUAACGCAUUAAGUACCCCGCCUGGGGAGUACGGCCGCAAGGCUAAAACUCAAAGAAAUUGACGGGGGCCCGCACAAGCGGCGGAGCAUGUGGAUUAAUUCGAUGCAACGCGAAGAACCUUACCUGGGUUUGACAUGCACAGGACGACGGUAGAGAUAUCGUUUCCCUUGUGGCCUGUGUGCAGGUGGUGCAUGGCUGUCGUCAGCUCGUGUCGUGAGAUGUUGGGUUAAGUCCCGCAACGAGCGCAACCCUUAUUUCAUGUUGCCAGCGCGUAAUGGCGGGGACUCGUGAGAGACUGCCGGGGUCAACUCGGA
rnacentral:rRNA from 1 species